AUAGCUCGCUCUCUUGCGCGCGCAGUUACUGACUGUAGGCCGUGGCAUCGACGCGUGCGCACAAUCGUGUUUACAUUUUUUACGGUGCUUCUGAGUGUUGUAAUUGACCAUGUUUUUAUCCUAUGAAGUUGUCAGCGUAUUCGGAAUCUCGGCGAUGGUGUCAUUCUUCGUGUCAGCGGCGCUGCUGCUGAUGUUUGCAGCCAAAAAAGGACUCCUGCGCAUCGGGAGCCGUCGCAAGGAGUCACCUACCCUACUGCCCCAGCAUUUGGCACCACAGCUCAUGCCAGUGGAACUGAUGCCUUUGAAAACUGACAAGGUUCCGCUGUAGAGGUGUUAACACCAUGUGGGAUAAUCUGAGGCUAGUCUUUUUGGCGACAAAGUGGCACAAUUUGAAAAUGCUAAUUUCUGGUUCUAACGUCUUUCAAAAUGCACAUGACAAAAAUCAUUGCAAAUCUUCAAAAAAUUUGUUCUGUUUAAAAAGAGCACUGCAGGCCAUUGAAGUGGCAUAUGCCUGUGUUUUUUUUUGUGUCUGUUGAGCGACAGACAUUUAAAAGAUCUACAGUAACUGCAUCCGUUUUUAUAUAAACUUUUCAAGUGUAAACUGUGUACUUGAAGAUGGAUAAGGGGCACUUUUUAUCAGAUUUAUCUUCAAACAGACGUCUUUUUAUUAUUUUGCUUAAGUUAUUUCCACGUGGUUAUAUUAUUAUUUAUCUUUCCAAAGGUUUCUAGUUUAUGGUAGAUUUAAUGUAUUACUAUUAUGUGGGUAUGUACUUAAUAAUUUUGCACAAAAUCAUUUUAAAGUCCGACCAAUAGUAUAAGCAAAUUAAAUAUAACUGGACCAUAUUAUAUUAGUAAGUACUUAUCAUGGAAUUUAGGUAUUUGUCAACAUUAGUAAUAGUGUCCAUCAUAAUUUUUCACAAAUUAGUCAUAAGUAGUUAUUAUCUACGUAUUCAAAAAGUCAAAUAGAUAGUUAUCAUCAUAAUAGAUGUAGUAAUUUAACAUUCCUAAAUUAUUAAGAUCAUUUACUUAUAAAUUGGUUCACUAAGGAUUGUUUGACUUUAAAAGUAUUUUUUUGUGUUAUUUACAUUGUAAAUGAUAAACAAAAACUUAUUUUUAAUGUCUGGAAAAUGAAUCCUCAAUUUAUUAUUAAUUAGGUACUUAUAGUAAUUGUGCCAUACAAAUUAAUGUUAUGUCAACUCUUGUUAUGAAUUAUUAUGAAACUGAGUACUUAUUUUUAAAUGUUGUAAUUACUCUCAUUUUCAAUUAGCGUUAUUAUAUGACAUUAUAAACAUUUAUUACUAAA